UACGUAGGGUGCAAGCGUUAAUCGGAAUUACUGGGCGUAAAGCGUGCGCAGGCGGUGAUGUAAGACAGAUGUGAAAUCCCCGGGCUCAACCUGGGAACUGCAUUUGUGACUGCAUCGCUGGAGUGCGGCAGAGGGGGAUGGAAUUCCGCGUGUAGCAGUGAAAUGCGUAGAUAUGCGGAAGAACACCGAUGGCGAAGGCAAUCCCCUGGGCCUGCACUGACGCUCAUGCACGAAAGCGUGGGGAGCAAACAGG
rnacentral:rRNA from 1 species